rnacentral:rRNA from 1 species
UACGUAGGUGGCAAGCGUUGUCCGGAUUUACUGGGCGUAAAGGGAACGCAGGCGGUCUUUUAAGUCUGAUGUGAAAGCCUUCGGCUUAACCGGAGUAGUGCAUUGGAAACUGGGAGACUUGAGUGCAGAAGAGGAGAGUGGAACUCCAUGUGUAGCGGUGAAAUGCGUAGAUAUAUGGAAGAACACCAGUGGCGAAAGCGGCUCUCUGGUCUGUAACUGACGCUGAGGCUCGAAAGCGUGGGGAGCAAACAGG